rnacentral:rRNA from 1 species
AGAUUGAACGCUGGCGGCAUGCUUUACACAUGCAAGUCGAACGGUAACAGGCCGCAAGGUGCUGACGAGUGGCGAACGGGUGAGUAAUGCAUCGGAACGUGCCCAGUCGUGGGGGAUAACGCAGCGAAAGCUGUGCUAAUACCGCAUACGAUCUAUGGAUGAAAGCGGGGGACCGAAAGGCCUCGCGCGAUUGGAGCGGCCGAUGUCAGAUUAGCUAGUUGGUGGGGUAAAGGCCCACCAAGGCGACGAUCUGUAGCUGGUCUGAGAGGACGACCAGCCACACUGGAACUGAGACACGGUCCAGACUCCUACGGGAGGCAGCAGUGGGGAAUUUUGGACAAUGGGCGCAAGCCUGAUCCAGCAAUGCCGCGUGCAGGAAGAAGGCCUUCGGUUGUAAAGCUCUUUUGUUGGGUAAGAAAAGACAAUCGGUUAAAGUACCCGGUUGUACUACGACGGUACCAAAGAAUAAGACAACCGGCUAACUUCGUGACCGAGCGAGA